rnacentral:rRNA from 1 species
CCUACGGGAGGCAGCAGUGAGGAAUAUUGGUCAAUGGCCGGAAGGCUGAACCAGCCAUGCCGCGUGAAGGUCAGCGCCCUUUGGGCGUUAAACUUCUUUUGUGCGGGAGCAAUAAUGGUCAAGUGUGGCCAGACGAGAGUACCGUACGAAUAAGCAUCGGCUAAAUCCGUGCCAGCAGCCGCGGUAAUACGGGGGAUGCAAGCGGUAUCCGGAUUUAUUGGGUGUAAAGGGUGCGUAGGCUGUGAGGUAAGUCAGCGGGGAAAUGCCCCCGCUCAACGGGGUGAAGUGCCAUUGAUACUGCCUUGCUGGAGUGCGGAUGACGUGGGAGGAAUGUGUGGUGUAGCGGUGAAAUGCAUAGAUAUCACGCAGAACACCGAUUGCGAAGGCAGCUCACGAAUCCGCGAUUGACGCUGAUGCACGAAAGCGUGGGUAUCAAACAGGAUUAGAUACCCUGGUAGUC